GUGGGGAAUAUUGGACAAUGGGCGCAAGCCUGAUCCAGCCAUGCCGCGUGAGUGAUGAAGGCCUUAGGGUUGUAAAGCUCUUUCACCGAUGAAGAUAAUGACGGUAGUCGGAGAAGAAGCCCCGGCUAACUUCGUGCCAGCAGCCGCGGUAAUACGAAGGGGGCUAGCGUUGUUCGGAAUUACUGGGCGUAAAGCGCACGUAGGCGGAUAUUUAAGUCAGGGGUGAAAUCCCAGAGCUCAACUCUGGAACUGCCUUUGAUACUGGGUAUCUCGAGUAUGGAAGAGGUGAGUGGAAUUCCGAGUGUAGAGGUGAAAUUCGUAGAUAUUCGGAGGAACACCAGUGGCGAAGGCGGCUCACUGGUCCAUUACUGACGCUGGGGUGCGAAAGCGUGGGGAGCAAACAGGAUUAGAUACCCGGGUAGUCC
rnacentral:rRNA from 1 species